AUUGAACGCUGGCGGCAGGCUUAACACAUGCAAGUCGAGCGGAGAUGAGGUGCUUGCACCUUAUCUUAGCGGCGGACGGGUGAGUAAUGCUUAGGAAUCUGCCUAUUAGUGGGGGACAACAUUCCGAAAGGAAUGCUAAUACCGCUUACGUCCUACGAGAGAAAGCAGGGGAUCUUCGGACCUUGCGCUAAUAGAUGAGCCUAAGUCGGAUUAGCUAGUUGGUGGGGUAAAGGCCUACCAAGGCGACGAUCUGUAGCGGGUCUGAGAGGAUGAUCCGCCACACUGGGACUGAGACACGGCCCAGACUCCUACGGGAGGCAGCAGUGGGGAAUAUUGGACAAUGGGGGGAACCCUGAUCCAGCCAUGCCGCGUGUGUGAAGAAGGCCUUAUGGUUGUAAAGCACUUUAAGCGAGGAGGAGGCUACUGAGACUAAUACUCUUGGAUAGUGGACGUUACUCGCAGAAUAAGCACCGGCUAACUCUGUGCCAGCCGCCGCGGUAA
rnacentral:rRNA from 1 species